GCGCAGCAGUCGAGAAACUUUACAAUGUGCGAAGCACGAUAAGGGAACUCUGAGUGCCUCCUAAGGAGGCUGUUCUGAUGUCUAAAAGCAACAGAAGUAAGGGCUGGGUAAGACCGGUGCCAGCCGCCGCGGUAACACCGGCAGCCCAAGUGGUAGCCACGUUUAUUGGGUCUAAAGCGUUCGUAGCCGGCCAGGUAAGUUCCUUGGUAAAUUUAGCCGCUUAACGGUUAAGCUUUCGGGGAAUACUGCUUGGCUUGGGACUGGGAGAGGUCAGAGGUACUCCGGGGGUAGGGGUGAAAUCUAUUAAUCCCUGGGGGACCACCGGUAGCGAAGGCGUCUGACCAGACCAGGUCCGACGGUGAGGGACGAAGGCUAGGGGCGCGAACCGGAUUAGAUACCCCCGUAGU
rnacentral:rRNA from 1 species